UUCAGAGAAGGGGCCUAGCAACUCUAAGACCCAAGCUAUACAUCACAGUGGGGAGGGGACCACAUUAGAAUAAUGCAGGAUUAGAGUGGGGUUGCUAUAGCGACGUAUUAGGGCAAUACAUCUAAGGAGCCCCAGCCCCUUGGUGAUGUAUGACUCUGCUCAGCUGUGAGGAGCAGGGGGAGGGGACCUGCCCCGCCCUUCCAAGGGAGAGCAGCCACCAAACACUCUUCACUGGGGGUGAACAUCUGCCUUGGACUUCAAAAAGAGGCAUCUCAGAAUCCUGUCAAGACUAAAAGAGAUGCCCUGCCAUCCUCCAUCACUCCAUUUCAGUCCAUAUGCAACUCAACUUCAACUUCAAAUCCCAGCUAGGCCCUGUACCCCAUUCCUAACCCCACUGGGUCACAUUAAACCUCCAUCUCAGCCCCUCCAGGUAUGUUCUUUCUGCUUCCUUGGCAAGGACCAUUCCAUACUCCCUCAGCAUCUGAGGGAAUUCAUAGGACUACAUUUGAGGACCAAAGGAGGGAGCAGAGGGGAAGGAGGUGGAAUUGUCCAGAAACACUCCUCAGCCAGACCACCUGACGCUGUUUGAAAAAAGUCUAGAGAUGGCCCUGCAGCUCUGUUGCUUUGAAAGUCACAGCUCUGGUUGCAGUUUGAACUGGAAGAGGCUGACCACAGAAGUCAUCCUCUCUCACCAAAGGAGGACACAGACCAAAGGACAAGGCAGGAUAGGAGACAUGGACCUCUACAUAAGCAUGUACAUGUGAAGACACAUACACAUACACUUUGACCUCAUCCCCGGACACCCACCAUGGAAGAAACUAGGUCUUUACUCCAGAUUGGGAAGAGCACAUAAAGGAGAAUUCUCUCCCGACCUUUCAUCCUCUGUGUCUCCCUCCUCAUAUUCACAGAGACAUAUACAGUCAUACACAAAUGCACACACAAUGUGCAUACUCUCACAAUUGGCAGAGCAAAGAGAAAGGGAAAAGAAGACUAAAAGAAGAAGCCAGCAACCAAAGGUCAGCUGGGGUGGCUCAGCCACGUGCAGUACACCCACAACCCUGGUCAGGUCAUGUGAGACCAGGACCAAAGCCUCGUCAACACUCCAUUGUCUUCCAGAGCCCAGCCUGUGCUGUACCCUCCAGGCCAGGGCUACUUUGUUCACCCCUCCUGAGGGGACCCCCUGGGGCUCCUUCAGUCUUCUCCUGGAGGAAAAACUGAGUGAUGCUCAGGCCCAGGAUCCUCACCUAGGACUCCAGGACAUUCAAACAGCUUUUCUGAUCUCACCUAGUUUGUCAGCCUCAGUCCUAUCAGCCUCUGACUCUUCUUCGUUAAGUCUGAGAGAACAGCCAAGGAGUGCUGAAGGCCAGAAAUGAGGCAGUUCUGCUGGGCCAUUUCCUCAGACCAGGAAGGUUCAUGGUUCCAAAGGCAGCCCCUGGAUCCUAAGCAUGGAGAGAGGCAGGAAAAGCGCACUACUGGGUUCUGGUCCCUCACUCUGCAAACAGCCACAGGCACUGACACGGUGCAGGUCCAGAGGCCCAAAAAUGCGUGGAAAGCACACAUUUCUGCUUCCACCUUGUGCAGAAGAGCGUGUUAGGCAGGUCCGUCUCUGCUCUCUGGGUCUCUGACUCCCUGGCAGGGAGGAAUUGGGCAUUGUUGCCAAAAAUAAACGUUCCCUCUCCCGCUCCCUGGCUCCCGGCUCCCGCUCAUUAGGAUGCGUGGCGUUUGGCUGCGGUCCCACACCUUGCAGCUCAUUAUAAAUAUGCAGUCGCUGCUGGCGCUACCCCAAUCAUCUCUGCAAUCAGAGCUUUUAAUUAGGUUAAUUAAAUUGUAUCAAAUCUCGCAGGGACGCAGUUCACUGAUGCUGAUGAGGCAGCCAAAACAGACCCCAGCUCCUCCGCUAAUGAAGGGCCGCUG